GGGGCACGCGCGCGCUCAUCACCCGCCCCGUAUACCUGCGCGAGUACGAACUUCAUUUCUUCCUUUCUCCCUCAAACAAUCCCACAUAAGUCCUCAAGUAUUGACAAUUUCAAGGAAAUGUUCAAACAUGUCACGUUUUCAGCUUGUAGGGUUCGAAACUCGGUCGACUGAGACAUGAGGCCAAAGAGGAGCAAUGGCGGCGUAAUCACCUACCACAUACCGUUUAAUAUCAGACUUGUAACAUCCGAGGCACCAGAGUUAAAGUGCGCAAGGUCAGAGGUGAGAUUGAACGCACCUGUGAAGAAGAAGAAGAAGAAGAAUUGUGGGUGUGCAAAACAAGGCAAAAGAGAAGACAAGUCAGCAGCACAGAGUUCCAGGCCACGGCGAGGCCAGCUGCCCUCUCACACCCCCACCAGGCGAAUACAGGUGAAAAUGGAGGCUGACAGCAGAGAGAUUGCUGAUUUAGUUCAACCUUUACUGGACACAGACAAGGAGUUGGAGAGAUUCCUGUCCAAGUAUGAAGAAGCUAAGGUGCUGAGGAGGGAACGCAUGCGCAAGUGUUGGAACGAGGAUAUAUGGGCGUCCUCCCGGAAGAAAAUGGACCAGCACAUGUCCACAUGCAACCCGCUGGAGACAAACAUGCGCCAGAACUUGUACGACCAAUACCUCCAACACGGAAACACCAAGGGCUUUGUGUUUCUUGACACGUGUGACCUGAAGCAGUACAAUCCUUAUCUGCUCCACGGCGACAAGCCACACAAGUGCAAGCACAAUGUAGCCAAGCUGAAGGAGCCCAAAUUACUGGAUAGCUCCAAGCUGAACACAGCUCGCUGUGAAGCAGUUUGUGUGAUGUAGGAUGUCAGCACAAGUGGGCUCCUCAAAGGGAACACAUCCCACCUGAGGCCAACAUGCAAUCAUUUGACACCACUGAAAGCCACGCUGUCGACAAGAUUUGCAGAACCAAAAUACCUUUCCACAUCCAUGACACCGCCAUACCGGAUGGAAGAUGCCAUCACAGCACCUGCUGGUUCACCUCGCAACAAUAAAGUUCAUUUUUUAUCAA